AAGGGCACCACAAGAACGCGUGGAGCAUGUGGCUUAAUUUGACUCAACGCGGGAAAUCUUACCGGGUCCGGACACACUGAGGAUUGACAGGCAAUAUUGGAAUGUGCUUUGGCAUUCCAUGUUAAAUAUGCUAGUCCUUUCAUGAUUAUGUGAUAGGUGGUGCAUGGCCGUUCUUAGUUCGUGGAGUGAUCUGUCUGCUUAAUUGCGUUUCACUAAGGGCUUAUUAAUUACGUGCGCUGCACUCUCUUUGACCCCUCAUUUAUUUGAGCGCGUGUCUCAGAUGAUUAUGCUCGCACAAUUAAGUCCUGAAAGCAACGAACGUGACCGCAACCUCUUGUUGCCUUUUGCACAAACCUGUGCUUGAAUUUUUUUUCAUGCGCGGAAAAGAGGCUAUAAACUAGAGGGACCGCUGUAAUCUUUUUAAACCAGAGGAAGGUUGCGGCAAUAACAGGUCUGUGAUGCCCUUAGAUGUUCCGGGCUGCACACGUGCUACAAUGAUUAUUGCAGUGAGCAUCUCAUACUAUACACCGCUUGCGCGAAGGCUUCUUGUGUCGCUUUUGCGUGCAAGUUGCUCUUUUUGCGCGCGGUAAAGCCUGCUUCGAAAGUAAGUGGGUAAUCAAUUAGAAGUAAUGAUUUCCUUUUUUCAGCACACAUAUAUACGGCGUUGUUACCCGGAUUAGGCUUGUCCUAUUCUUUGUGUGUAUCAAUGUUUUUCCGUAUGUGCAAUUGUCAAUUCAUGGUGGGGACAGACCAUUGUUAAUUGUUGGUCUCGGUCUUAACUAGGAAUGCCUUGUACGGGUCUUUGGUUCAACAGACCACCCGGAAUACGUCCCUGCCCUUUGUACACACCGCCCGUCGCUCUUACCGAUGGACUUCUCUGUGAGUUUGAGGGACUGGAAUUUUUGCGCGUCUUUUUCGCUGCAAUACCUCUAUGGAAACUUAAACGAACAGUGUGGUCUAAAGGAAAGAGAAGUCGAACAAGGCA
rnacentral:rRNA from 1 species